rnacentral:rRNA from 1 species
GCCGCGUGCGCGAAGAAGGCCUUCGGGUUGUAAAGCGCUUUUCGGGAGGAAGAGGAAGGACUGUACUCCCGGAAUAAGUCUCGGCUAACUACGUGCCAGCAGCCGCGGUAAUACGUAGGAGGCUAACGUUAUCCGGAUUUACUGGGCGUAAAGCGCGUGCAGGCGGUUCGUUAAGUUGGACGUGAAAGCUCCCGGCUCAACUGGGAGAGGUCGUUCAAUACUGGCGGACUUGGGGAUGGUAGAGGGAGGUGGAAUUCCGGGUGUAGUGGUGAAAUGCGCAGAUAUCCGGAGGAACACCAGUGGCGAAAGCGGCCUCCUGGACCAUUCCUGACGCUCAGACGCGAAAGCUAGGGUAGCAAACGGGAUUAGAGACCCCGGUAGUCCUAGCUGUAAACGAUGUGAACUUGGCGUCGGUGGGAUUAAAUCCAUCGGUGUCGAAGCUAACGCGAUAAGUUCACCGCCUGAGGACUACGGCCGCAAGGUUAAAACUCAAAGGAAUU